rnacentral:rRNA from 1 species
AUGUCUUUUUGAUAAUAAUUUAAAGUUUGAUCUGCUCGAUGAUUAUUUAAAUUGCCGCAGUAUUUUGACUGUGCUAAGGUAGCAUAAUCAUUAGUUUUUUAAUUGAAAACUGGAAUGAAUGAUUGGACAAGAAAAUUUCUGUCUUAUUUUAAUGUUAUUUUUAAUUUUAUUUUUAAGUGAAAAAGCUUAAAUUAUUUUAAAAGACGAGAAGACCCUGUAGAAUUUUAUAUUUAUUUAUUGAUUUUUUAUAGUAAUAUUAUUUAAUAUUAAAUAUUUGGUUGGGGUGACUUGAAGAUUAAAUUAAUUCUUUAAAUAUUAUGUUAAUGAUUAUUAAUUUUAAAUUUUAAAUUUUUUAUGAUUAAAAUAAAUUACCUUAGGGAUAACAGCGUAAUUUUUCUUUAGAGUUCUUAUUGAAAGAAAAGUUUGCGACCUCGAUGUUGGAUUAAAAUUAAUUUAAGGCGUAGGAGCUUUAAAGAUUAGGUCUGUUCGACCUUUAAAAUUUUACAUGAUCUGAGUU